rnacentral:lncRNA from 1 species
GUUUGUUGAAAAUGAACUAAUCAUAGAUACCAGGAAUAAAAUUUAAUAUUUACGCCAGACGCACGUAUCGUCUACAAAAGACUCAUCAGUGACGCUCGAAUCAAAAAUGUAAUAAAAGGUCAAAUAAAGUACGAAGUUGAAGAGCAUUGAAAAUUCUUACGAAUGGUUUUGUUUCCUUGUUAUGGAAUAAUUUGAUACAGGUUUAUUUCCGGCUUAAGGGUAAUACAUGGAUGACAGACGUAAGAUUUAGUAUACAUGAGUAGUCAUGCUACAUUUUGAACCAGAUUUCUCUCAACUUGUUUCAUUUUAUCUCUAAUAUCUUGCCUGCUGAUAUAAGAAAUUCCUUUUAAAGAUCUGAACCUCUCCGACAUUUUUUAACUUUCUGCUCAUUCAAAUUAAACAGGCA